CUGAGCUGGACACCAAAGGGUGGGCAGAUGGCUCCCUAGAAGGGCAUUCCACCAUGAAGGAAGGGCACUGUGAGGCACAGCCAGGCCAGCAUUCACAAGUGCUCAGGGAGAAGCUAGUGGUGCGAUGUGGUGCAAGCGUGGGCCUGCUGGGCAAUUGGCCGCAGCUGAGACUAGAGAAGAGGGCUGCAGGCCACGCUAAUGCUUGUGGGGUCUUUCACACGCCGUGUCCUGAAGCCACAGCACACGUUUCAUCAGAUGGAAGAGAACGGUGCCUGAGCCGACAUCUUCACUUCAAUAAUUAUGUACAAAUUUUAAUCAGCACCAUGAAAAGCCGUGACCAGGCGCACCAAGCUUUUAACUUCAAGUAUCUGCCUUCAAAUCUAGAAAAACUGAGGUGAGUAAUAGUAGACACAUGUCACUACAAAUCCGUCAAAACCCACAGACUGUGCAACACAGAGUGACCCCUACUGACAUGAAUGAUGGACUUCAUCUCAUGGUGAAUCAAGACUGGCUCAUCAAUUGUACAAAGGUGCCACACUAAUGCUAGACGUGAACGACAAAGGAAUGGGGUGGCGGGACAUGGGAAUUCUCUGUACUUGCCACUGACUUUCUCUGUAAACCUAGAACUACUCAGAAAAAAAAAAAAAGCCUGUUCAUUGAAAAAAUAUUUUUAAAAAAUGAGUUGAUUUUAAACAAAUGUACAGUUUGACCAUUUUUUUGAACACAUGUAAGUAGGUGUGGCCAAAAGGCAGUCUGCAGAUGCGGAGGUGUGAACAGCACUGUAAGGUGGUGAGGGGCGGAGUCAGAGACCUGGGCAAGAAUGGGAGGGCACGGGCUGCCCCCGGGCCUCCAGGGAACGCCAAGGAGGGAAGAGGCCCGCUCCAAACCCCCGCCCUGUUCUAAGCCACUGGGAUCCUGACACCACCUCUGCCCCUCGGUCCCCAGUCGAGUCACUCACCGGGGCGCCCAAGACCCGGCCAGGGCACACCUCCUGCUUCCAAAUCCUAAGACUUCCUUCCCUGGCCUUGAGCUUCCCAAAUACCAUUUUCCCCUAAUUGGUUGACUUUAUAAUCAAGAAACAAAAAGUCUGUAAAAAAUAAGUGUUCAUUAAGCAGUUAACAGCUCCUGGGGGACUAAGGGAUCUCUCUGGUUAUCUAAAAGCUCUGAGAUGCCCAUUUCGUUCUGGAUACCAUCCGAGAUAGUUUCCAGCCCUCCCCGGAGCCCGGGAGUGCCUGGCAUGGCCCUCUCAUCAUCACCACGGUCCUAAGGUGACAAGGGGACUCUAGACCCUGAACAACGCAGCAAGACCACAGGCUCCGCCACUUCCUGAGGGAAUAAGGGCUGGGAAAGUACUUUGGGGUGUCGUUCUGCUUUGGUUCUCUUCAUUGUUUUAACGGGACUGGGGAAAUCAGCUCGGGGCAUCUGGGGUUUGCCUGCUUCUGCCCCAGGGGCGCCAUGAAGCCCUGGAGUGCCUGAUUGUCCCUGAUGAACUUUUGUGCAGACCACAGGCUGCUCUGGGAAGACACAGCCCGGGCAAAGUCGUGCCUGGGUUUCCACGCUGCGUGCACGAGCCCUGGGUUGGCCGGGAUGUAUUAAGAACACAGUGCCGGGCUGGAAUCGGAACAGAUCUCAGCAAACCUGCAGAGAUGAGUCACUGUCUGGAACCCAAGGAAAACCUGACAAGGCCUCCUUACAGGGUCCAGAGGAACAACGGCAAAGACCUCAUAAGCGCGUGCACUGAGCUCAUGAUCCACGUAGGAAGCGCUGGUGGGCACCCCAAAAACAUCCUCCACCGCCUACAAGAAUAGAAAAUUCUAACUCUGCAUCUCAAGAUUUCAAAAGUUUCUCUUUUCUGGAGGAAAACAGGGCCUAAAUGAUCUGGCCUGUCUUCGGUACAAAUAACUUAGGGAUGUUUGGAAAAACGUAAAAGGAUUAUUUUUAAUAAAAUGGUGAUUUCCAGAAAUAGAGCCUGUAGUUUACAGAAGUAAUCAGCCUCAGAUCUCGAGCUUCCUACCUGUUGAGCGAAGACCACCCUCUUACAAAUUCCCCCCCACAAAUGCAAGCUCUUUGCGCAGCUAAUCUCCUGUACCUUUGUGAAGGCCGGGGCCCUGGACAUUACAGGGCCAUUUAUGAAAAUGGGAGAGGUAAUUGGGACAUCUUUUGAAAUCAGGUCCCCUCCGCCUUGCCAGCCCCACCAGCCCUCUAAUUUCAGUUGGCCGGGCUGUGGAGGAUGUUUACAUAUGCUUCUUCCUGGAAUUUCACUCUUUGCUUCAGGAGUGGGCAAUUAGAGAGAAUUAGGGCCUAUUUGGCGUAUGUUUACCGUUAAUGGAGAGAGUGGCAGAGGCAGCCCCAGGAAAGGCAGGCUGCUGGUCUAAUUGAAGCUGGCAAUUUCUCGAUUCCUCAUUUCAGCUCGCAGGUAUUGUAGCAACCAAGGUCAGAAAACAAAGGCUGCAGCCCACCGUGGUAACAGCCGGGUGCAGGCCUGACCGAGGGUUUUGUGAGCUAUUUAUUCCCGCACACUGAAGCACAAAGAGAGAGCUCGAGAUGUUUUCAAAGCCGGGGCUGCACCGGGCAGCCAGCACAGGCCUGGUUACUGAUCACUCUUCCAGAAGCUGCCACCCUGACGGCUCCUGUAGGAAAUUCUCAGCCGAGCAGGCCACGGCGCCAACUGAGGUGUUGCCCAGGGUCUCGUGACCAAAAGGCACGGGGUGAAGCCACCAGGGAUGGUGCGGCCAGCCACACCCUCCUGGGACUGCGGCCACGGGCCAGUCUCAUUACACAGUGAACGCUCCACAGCCCAGAAAGGUUUUCCAGGCCUGGCCGGCGGCCCGCCUCAUUAAAAGAAUACCCCAUAAAACACGAUCCUUGCCCCACCGCACGCAGCAGCCCCUUGGCGCUCACUCGGGGCAUGAGCGCCUGUAGGAUCUGUGUUCAGAAAAAGCUAGCCAUGGGGACUGGCUAAUGACUUCGAGCCCAGCGCCCGUGCCGGUCAAGCAGGAGCCGGCCACAGGCAGUGGGCUUCACAGCCAGGACCUGCUGCCUCGGGGUGGGGUGCCAGCUCUCUUAGGUCUCUGGUUUCCUCAUCUCUGAAGGAGAGGGGGUUAGAAGGCAGUGGACCAGUGAUCUCCGGGACCCCCCACCCACUCUAAAAACCUAGCGAACAAACCAACCAACUAAGCACAGAUGACCACUGAGGCAGCCAGAAGGAACCAGAGCUCCACAGGCCCUCAGAUGACCCUGAUCCUGCACUGCCCAUUUCACAGAUGGGGAAACUGAGGCCCUGAGGGCUGGAGACAGGGGCCAAGGUCACACCCACCGUUGGGGCUGAACGGGGGCUGGAGCCAGGUCUCCAGAAGGCUGCUGCCUGACUCGAGGCCCAGAGCACUCGUUGAGAACUCUCUCUUCUGACUGACAAGCCCAAGGAGUGGACAGUGUGCCCUGCCCCCCACCAGGAGGCUAAUAGGGGCCCAAGCUGGACACCUAGGGACCUCCGUCCCCUCCUCUGAUGAAACAGGAUCCUUGCCUUCCCAGCACUGACAUCCUGUGCUUCUCCUGCCUCACAGAAUACGCAGAACUGACAGGCUACUGCCCCGUUUUACAGAUGGGGAAACUGAGGCCCAGAAGCCAGCAGUAACACAGAUUUUUGGCCAAGACGGAGAACUGGGACUCUUUCCUCUCAUGGCAGGGACUUUGGCCGUGGUUCCUCCAGAGGGGCAGGAGCCCUCCAGGCAGUCUGGAGCAGUGGGGUCGCUCAGGGCUGCCCCUGACGCUGUAGGCUGUGCUGACCGCCCCGCUCAGCCUCUCUAACCAAAACCACCAGCCCCGGGGAUCUCCGAGCCCCCAGCCCCCAUUUCUUAACCUGGUAGGAACGACUCUGUCUCCACCCACAGGAUGGCCCAGAGAAAGGGCCGGAAAGGCAGAAGCAGCCACACAGCUGCGGCCCUGGACGGCCAGCACAGACGUGCGGUCAGUCCUUGGCCCUCUAACUGUCCUCCUUCCCCAACUUCCCAUUCUGUGUCCUUGGCCCCAUUCUGUCUCUUUGGCCGUCCCUCGGGCAUCAGGCCCAGUUUGAUCAAACCCUUGUUUACAGGCACAGCCACUCUGACGCUUCCUCCUGAGAAACUGGCAGAAAGAAAGCCCCAGAACGGAGGAGCACGAGCAGGUCCAGGGUCACGCUGACGGGGUGGCUGGUUAAGCGCCAUUGUGCAGCCUCUUGUCUGGGCCUCGGCGCUCCCGACACGCACACAAGGGCAAGGGGCCCGCGUCAGCCCCGGAGGGAACACACACACACACUCCGCUUCAGAGGAAGGUAAUUGAGGUUUUCGUCUUUUCAUCUGAAGAAAAGGCACCUUCUAUUGAAAGAAUGUAUUCACAGAACCUGGGAAAACUCAUCUGCACUCAGCCCUCCCAAUUAUCCCCAGGUGGCUGGACUCCAUGGGGGCCCCCCACAUUCCUUUCUGCCUGCGUCUUUGUUUCCAUCUGAAACGGCCCUGGGAGCUCCCAGGCUAAGAGUCUCCUCCUUAAGCCCCUGCCAAAGACCCUAUUCACUGUGCCGAGAAGCCAGGCAAAAGGUGGGGGGCAGCCUUCCUUUUCCCGACUCCCGGGGUGGGGGACUUAAGAACUCUCCAUCUGGAUUUUUUUUUAAGCCCAAAGAAAUUGGAGAGCAAUUAGGAGAGUCACGACUACCCCCUCCACCAUCCUCCUCUCCCUUAAUGAAUUCCUCUCUCACACACAUCCCCCCAAGGUGGGGCCUCCCAGGGACUCAGCUCCCCAGCACCUGCUCUGCCCACUGGGCUCCACGAUCACCAAGGACUUUGUUGCGAAGGGAGCUGAGAAGGCAAAUAUAGAUAUGUCCCGAGAGUUUCUCACCACAGUCAGUUCCCAAAAGCGUGGCUAGGGGGAUCGGCUUUCCACAGUGAAGAUUAUGAUACGGGACCAAGUGUCUAAAACCAAGAAGGCACUAGAAAUUCCAGGAUGCAUGGGCACCUCAAACUUGGGCCUCUCGGGCACCGGGCAGCUCACCUUGGCACAGAUAAGGCGUCCCUACACCUCUUCUGGAUCCGACUGAACUCGGGACCCCUCUCCCUGGCACUUCUGUUCUGCUGCCAGGCCUGCAGGGUGCCCAGGAGGGGACACUGCUGGGGCCAGGCCUCCUCCCAACAGAGUCUCAAGGGCUCCCUCCAUUCGCACCUUCCCUGGCUCUGAAACACGGACUCAUUCCACGCCAAGGGGGCGAGGCUGCCUCUGUGACAUCCCUUCCCUCAAGGUGCCCCAAAGCACCUGGCUGCCAGGCCUCGAGGUUGCCUGUUGGCACCGGACACUGUAGUGAGAGCCUUCCCCACCUAGUCUCGUCUCUCUCUUUCAAGACAGGAACCCCACACUUGAGAUGGCUUCAUUUGAAAAGAUACAACUCUCUUCCAGAAUCUUCCAUCGGCUCAAACUGGGUAUGGGAGACCAGGAUAUACUUCCUUGUUCCUUCUUUAGGAGAGGGGACAGGGUGACAAGCAGCAGCGGGGAGGGGGACCUCGUUCUUGGGACUCACUCACUUGUUAAAUUCUAGUCUUCUAAAAAGAAGAUGCUCCCAGUGCCCCAGACUUUCCCAAUUCAGCUGACAAUGCCAGUUUCUACACUGUCCACUGUCCUUUAACCCUUUGGGACCACAAUCCGCCUCCCUCUGCAUCACCUUCUGUGUAAAGCCGCCUUUCUCUUUUGAAGGGAAAAUUCAUUAGCAAGCUCAUUAAAGAUGGGCCCUUUUUUUUCUUUCUGGAAGUCAGAUUGCUCAUAAAAAACACAUUUAAGUUACUUCGUGUAAAUGAAUGAACAAGAAACACGUGCAUCGUGUUGCCCUCAAGUCUUGCCAGGUUUUGACAUUAUUUGGAGAAAUGUGCUUACAAAUACAUUUGGGGUUUGAAUAACAACUCAGGAGACACAGGGUCAGGGCCCUAAAAGCUGCCAUCAGCCCCACAAGCCACCUGCAGGUGGGAAAAUGCAGGGGGAGCGAAGGGGCCGGGUUUUCCUUCCCAUGAGCGCAGAGGCGAAGCUGUGCUGGCGGCUCCCUUCCCCACCCACCCAGGUGGAGGCAGGUGGGACAGGCGGCCAGCUUUCAGACAAGACCACCACCUCUUCCCCGACAUCUGUGCCCACCCAGAAGCGCCCAGCUGGAGGCGGGCCCCAGGGAACAGCCUAGCUCAAUGUAGGCCUCCUGCCUGUCUUGCCCAUCGGGGUCUCAUUUCCACCCCUUCCUGCUCAGGGAUGGGCCAAUCCAUCCAAAAAGAAUUUUCCUGAAAACAAUCAUUUCUUUCAUCACUUGAGGACGGCCUUUCUGUAAUUCCUGGGAUGAUCAACUGCGAGGCUGAUUUAUGAUGUUACGUUUCGACUUCUUUAAUUGAGAACUUGAUCUAUUUCUAUUUAUUUUCUGCUCAGUAACACACAAAACCCGAAAUACGUUGUUUGCCUGAGACUGAACAUUCACAAGUGUCUCUGAAAUAGAACUCGGCCCGGCCCAUCCACUGAGGAGGGGGAGGCGUGGGGGUCAGCCGUCUGGGACGGGCUGGGGUCUCGCCUUCACCUUGACUCUGCUCCUCGGCUCAGCCCACCUUGAGCGUGUCCUGAGCUGCCCCUGACGAAGUGUCUAGAAGCUGUGCAGACUAGCUGCACAGAUCUUUCUGGUAAGCUCCAGAUACGACACCCCCCCAGGCGUCCCGCAUCCUGCCUUGUGUAAAGCUCCCCUCCCAGGCUUCUUCCCACGUCACUGUGUUUGCAGGGGGCUCAGCAAAUGCCAGCUACGAAGUAAAUAUCACAGGGCAGAGCGUUCCCGGUGCCCAUUCCUAGGCUGAGCCCUGGGCACACACUCCCCACCUCGACCAGCUCUCCAGAGAGCGAAACCAGCAGACAGAGGCGAAGCCCCGGGUCUGGAUAUCGCGGCCCCUCUCUGCCUGCACUCACGGGUUUUGUUUAAAAAUCAGAUCCCCACCGCAUUUCCAUUUCAGGGGAGAAGGGCAGGGCCGUGCAAGAGCUGUGUCAGAAACCUCCGUUUGAUGAAAGAGCAUCAUGGAAGCUGUACUGGAAACCCAAGACCCCCCGGGGAGGGCAGGGGUCCAGCCGCUCUGCCCCCCGGGCAGCAGGCCGCGAAAGGCUGAGCACCCGGGGGCAGGGGCCCAGCUCUGGCACAGAGCUCGUGCAUCACCUCCUGUCUCAGAGACCCCACGUGUGAGUGUCGAGGGGGGGACGUGGCACUGGACCAAGGGAAGUGCUGGGGCCCACUCGAGGCUCCACACAUGUCCGGGGAAUUGAAUCAGCUUCGUCCCCAGCCUCCAGGGAUUUCUCUCUCCCCUGGACCAGCCUGGCAGCCUACCUGCACUCAUUCACUCACCCUAGUCGCUACUCCAGGAGCAUCAGAUGUGAGGCACGUCAGACACAGAGCCAGCCACACACUAGCACAGCCCCACCCAGUUGUGGACACCCCUCUGCCCCUCCAAGAAACUAGGGCUGGACCCUGCCACGGGCUCAGCCACUGGGACCCCAGAAAGGAAGGUACCUCAGCUGAGCCUCCUCUCCUUCCACCUUGCGUAGCUGCCGCACAGGCCACAUCACUGUGUGGGACCUCCCAGGGCACCCAACUAGACCCUCUGGUCCUUAAGGCAAAGCUGGUCUUAGGCACCCCAGAAGAGCCAACCCCGAGUCCCCACGGCCCCAUGGAUGCAUCUUCACUAAAUGAACCGCAGACAGACAAACGACGAGUCCUGGGGUGAAGCGUGUGGCUGUAACCCUUGGCUUUCUUCUUCUCUACCAUUAGUGAUUUCAUUUAAACAAACAAAAACAUUGCCAUCUCACUGCCAUUUCAGGGGUGAGGAAAGAGGCCGAGAGAAGAACCCACUCAGAAACCACUAUUUGAUUAAAGGACAUCGUGAAACCCCCAGGUGGGAGCAACCAGCACGUUCUCGGGGACUGGCAUCGCCAUGGCUUUGGGAGAAAUGUUUUUCUAGCUAGGGCAGGGCAAUGCACCCCAGUUCACUUUAUUAACAUGCUCAGCAAAGCUUUGUUGACGACCUACUAAGUUAUAGGUCAGUUCUCAAGGAGGCGCCUUACUUACCAUGCCGGGCUGCAGUAUGCCGUCGCCCCAGGUGGCCCCCACACUCGCUGGCUUGGCGAGGCAAGGGUCUGGGCUCCAGGCAGCUUCCAGACCCCCAGACCCCCCGGUGGUAUAGAAGAAGUCACCCUUGGCAGCAGCCCCUCCCCAGGUUAAAUGUGCACAUUCUUGAACAGAGACACAAGCUCAACCUAACAGAAUCGUGGUGUCCCAAGAACGCAAGAAACUCACCCCAAACCAGGAGGUGGCGACGGGCACAGGGUGGGCGUGAGGCGCCAGGCGGCCAUCAGGAAGGACGUGGUCCAGGGUGGGGGUCCUCCGGGGGUUCUUCCAUCCCUUCCGUCCAGUUCUUCAGCCAACCCGACCAAGUUGCAGCCCAUGUCCCAAGGACGGGGCCGACCUUGGGGAGGGACAGAAAGUUAGAAAGAUCGAAAGACAAGCACCCCAGAAAAACCACCAACACCCCAAGAAAAAGCACAGAGCCCAAUCUCACCUGUGGUGUGGUUGUCAGUGGAGGGAGGUGGCUCGUGGGGACGGGCCAUGGGCAAGGGAUGCAACAGGCCCAGGUGGCAGCCCCCAUGAGCCCUGGGGCAGGGCACAGCCCAGGACUCACAGGGACAGGGCGGCAAUACGGGCAGGCCAUGGGUGACUCCUGUUAGGACAUGACGACAAGGGAUCUGGACGGAGGGAGGGGACAGGACAGGUCUCGCUGCAUCCCACGGUCACUUAGACCCUAGGAAGUCAGUCCCACGGCUGGAAGCAUUUGAGGAUGGCUGGGGGAGGUGGCCUGACAGCAAGAGCUUGUCCCAUGGACACUGGGGACCCACUGGAACCCCGGGCAGCACUGAAGGGGAGGGGCAUUUGGACCCAUAGCAGGGCAAAAGGCCAGCAGGCAGGCCAGGUAACCACAGACGUGGGCUCAGCAAGGAAAAGCAACCCGUUAGGCAGAGGGCGAGACAGCGGAGCCCAGGGCAUGAGCCAGGUGACUCGGCACAGAGGAGGGGGAAGUGGGCCAGGCUGAGCAACAGACUAUGGCAAGCAGCCUCAGGUGGGCAGCCGGCAGAAGCGGAGCCUGCAGAGCUCCCCCGAGGGUCCUAGCCAUCUGUCCUUUGCAUGAGACAGGCCCCAGCCAAUGCCUGGGGGGCAAAGGAGCUGGUUUUAGCCCCAGUGAAGGAAGGCAUCUUGGAGGGAGGGGUCCAAAUCACACACCUCAACUCAAGAGGGAGACCUUUGUGGCCAGAGCCCGAAAGGACACACACCACACUGUCCUAUAUUCCCACCUUGGUCCUGAGUUCAGGGCCAGGGGUCCAGGACAGUCAUCAGCACUCAGCGACAGGAUGGAGUGCGGGAGGCAGAGAGAGCAGGCGGGGCUGGCUCGGACCAGCGGCAAGCACAGGCAGUCUGAGGUUCCUCUGGGGUUUGAAUUAAAGGUUCCAAAGGAAGUCCAGCCAGGCCCGCCCCUCGCACCGUCCUGCAUGCCUACUACAGAGCGGGGAAUCCACCGCUCCAGCGCCUGGGACAGCCGUGAGGCCGCCUGUGGCAGAAGCAACCCCCCGGCCUGCCCUCCCAGGGGUGGCAGAGGCCAUCAAGGGACGCGCUAGCGUGGCGGGUGCCCAGCCCGUGCCGGGCUGUGGGCUUGCUGAGUAAGGAUCAACUGUUGAAUGACGGGAUGAACGCAUGAGUGAAUGAAGGCGUGAGACCAGCAAGACCCCACUCAAACGGGGCUGAGGAUGGGGCGACACCCAUUCCGCAGUCAAAGCAAACGGCCCCUCCACCCUUUUGACCUCAAACUCCUUGCACCCCGAUGCCUCCCGUCUAGCAGCUCAGGUGUGGUGGCCGAGUUCCUUCAUUGACUCACCUGUCCAAACAGACAUCCCACAUACUCUUACUGAGCCCCACUUUUUUGCCAAGCUGGUACUGGGACACCCCAAGGAGGUGUGGGCUGGCCUAGGGUACCCCCAGAGGAUGGGGUUAGGACAUGAUGGAGAAGCAGGGGAGACGAAGGGGAGAUGGAGAACAGAAACGGAGGCAGGAAAAGCAGAAAAACAGAAACUCAGAAUUGGGGGCAUCUCCUGGCCUCACUCCUCUGGUUUCCCAUCUGCUUAAGCUGCCUCCUCCCACAUCUCCUGAGCCUCCAGGACUGACUUAAUGACGGAUCUUGAGACCAGUGGGCUCCAGGGGUCAGGUGACCAACACGGGAAGCCUACAGUGGGCUGGAGAUGUGGUGCAGGGGUCCUGAGUCCACAGGCAGCUGAGAGCCGCGUCCAUCCCAGGCAUGAAAGGGGUGCCACAGAACCAAGAAGGCAAGUUAAAAGGGGCAACCCCCCCACUCAAGGAGGCAAUCAGCUCAGAUUCUCUGCUGGUGGCCUCAGGAAAGUUUAAGACGACUGCCUGCUUUCCAGAAACCCAAGCAGGAGUCCGGCUGGGAGUUUCACCAUGUGGCAGGCGCUGUUAGGGUCCUGGGAGUAAGCACACCCUGAAGAUCCUGGCCGACUCAUGCCUUCCACCCCCUCCCCAGGUUCUCAAAUGCUGGCAUAUUAAUGGCUUUGGGGCUCAUCUUUUAAUUAUCAGUGGUGUUUGAGGGUGGGAAGGGUCCUGUGAUUUUGUUCCUAUUUAAAAGUCCUCACUUAGCAACCCCCAGAACUGCUCUUCUUUCACUCUUCAAUGACUGCGUGGGGUAGUGGGGUAGGUUUCUGUGGGAUCACCAUUUUCAGAGGUGCUCAACCUCAUCCUGGUUCCUAAUCCGGGCGACCUCUGGGUCACCUCCACCCAAAGGGGUGGAAUCACCCCACCCAGCCACCUAGACAUCCUUCGAGAUUUUUUGGGGAUGUUGGACAAGAGUUGGUUUUGCUAACUUGGAAAACAUGUCUAAUUCUGACCCAUGAUGCCAGGGAACCUUUAGCCAAGAGAUAAGUUAAGGGAGGAAGUUUUCUACUAAUAAAAUUUUCUGGCUCCAACCACCUCGCUUCUCCCUUAGUUUUCUUCCACUUGGCUGAAAGUCUGGCUAAAGCUGGAAUUAAAGUUUAAUUGGAGUGAUCUGAUCUUGAUUGAUCUGCCUUGGGGUGAGAAAUGUCCACAAUUCGGGACACAUAAGGGCAGACUUGAGGCACACCUGCUCUAGAGACAAGAAUGGGCUCUGGGGAGCUCAAGGGUCAGGACAGAAGGGGGAUUCAGGCGGGCUGCAGGACACAUGGGAGAGGGCGACGUUGGGGCGUGAAAGGAGCGUCUACAGGUUCUGAUGCCCGAUCUGAGCUGUAAUGUUCCCUCUGGCACUUGGUUCGCUGAGUGAUCCUAACACACUGCUGGACUCUGAACCUCUCUAACAGCAUUCGGGAGCCAAACAUGGACCCUAAAGCACACCCUUCCAGGGGGUGGCCCUCUGGGGCACCAACAUCCAUCCAUUUCUUGACCUAAGUGGAGCAUCCCAUGGGUGUUGACUUUGUGAUAAUUCCACCGGUUCUACCCCUAUGACAUGGCACCAUUCUACCUUUGGUAAUCUUGAGUAAGUGUGAAUGUUCAGUGGUCCUGGAACAAGUCAGGUGCGUGCCGGACGGGGAAAUGUGUGCUCUCAGUCCUCAGCCCUCGGAGAAGGAACCCAAGAGGUGUGACUCGCCCUUGCCCUGGGUAUAGGGUCGAACAAAGAAACUUUCCACAAAGCAGCCCUAUCUGCAGCCCGCUUCCCAAAGCUGCCUUCAACUUUCAACCCCGCUCAAUGGACUGCUCGCAGGGAUGGAGGCAAAGACUUAAAGGGGGAGCAAAUGAAACCUCAGCUCCAGCCCCAAAAUUAGAAGUGUGGGCGAAGAAGCGAGUGGCCCUGCCCUGUGGACGCCAGUUCACCUCAUUAUGAUAAUCAGUGUGUUUUUCCUUUGCAGACAAAGAAGGCUCCUUAUGAGACGAAUAUUGGAAUCCAGCGGCUACCUCAUUAACGUCUGCAGCCUCCUCCUUGACAGGGCCUAAGAUUAGCCCUGUGUUCAUUAAGGGAAAAGGGCGGAAAGUGGAAUAAAACUGAAAAACACAGCUGGGGGGAGGGGUGGGCUCUUUCUGUCAGCCAUUCAUUCAUUGAAAGACUCCUGUGCACCUUGGGGAUUUAAUCACCAGCAAAGGGGGGGCAGGGGGGUCUAACCAGGAUGCAGGAGGUAAAGAGGUUAAACUUGAUAGAAGGAGUUAAAAACCCAAAAUGGGGCAAUUUGAUUUGAAAGCUUCCUGGGAUUUGUCACUGGGAUAAUCAAUUUAAAACCUUUUUCCUGUUUACUUUCUUUCAGCCGAAACUGAAAACCUUUCUCUGGAUGUCUUUUUUGGUAGAUUUUAAUAUUCUCUAAACCUCUCCCCCCUACUUUUUUGUCUUUAGUGGGUUUUUCUGUAAAUUCUUUUCUUCUUUCUCUCCCACUCCCCCCCCCCCCCCCCGCCCCUCUCCACCUCUUUCUUCUCGCUUUGGUCCUCCCCAUGGGAACGGUUUCAACCUGUAAGGAAAUCUAAUGGGGACUCCAAUUAUAUUUUCUCCUGAAUACCUGAUUGACUUUAUUUUAAGUCUUUCAAAUCGUCUCUGGUUCUUACCUGCAAGAUAGCCCACCUCACCUGCCAGGUAAAGACGAUUAACCCUAUUUUACAACUGAGAAAAAGGUGGCUUGGGAAAACUGACCUACCUCAAGGCCCCAGCACUAAGUGGGCUAGCCAAGGCUCGAACCCAGGGCGAGAUGGCAAGAGGCAGCUUCCAGACAUUAGGAGAUCCGGAUAUGCAAGUUUCUGGGAAAACUAAGAAAUGAGGGAAGCCAGGAGCAGGUGUCCCCGUGAGGUCUACAGGGAGUGUGUCAACAGAAGUGAACCGGAGCCGAAAAGCUAUGUAAGAGAAAGAAUGAGUCCCUGUGUCCAAGAGCCAGACACGUGGCCAAGGUGAAGCUCCAGAAAAGUUAUUACCUUAGUGAGAGCCGCUCGAUGGAGUAGAGCAAGUCAGGAGGCAGUGGGUUGAAGAGGAAAUUGGAGGUGAGGAAGGAAGACAGCAAGUGAAGACAGGCCUUUCGAGAAGCUUGGCUGCGAAAGGAAAGAGAGAAACGGUAGUGGCUAGAAAGGAGGACAGAAGGGACCUGGGAGGCUGUGGAGAGAGCAAAGUUAGGAAUUCAGAGGAUAACCGAUGGUGGGAGGUCCAGGGCUGAGAUAGGAGGGACCAGAGCAGAGGGCACCCCUUCCUUUACAAGGUGAGAGGCGAUGGGGGUACACAUGUACGGUGGGACCCCAAUCUGAAAGGCCGCUUGAUGGCUCUGUUCCCCUAGAAGGUGCAGGCCAGCCCCGGGCCGGGACAGGGAGUUGUGAGGUUCAAAUGAAUUGUCGGUUGCCAGAAAGGGCUCUGCAUACUACACAGGAGACAGAAACGGGCACCGUAAUUACUCACUGGUAGCGGGACGCUCAAUUUUACAGCCCACUCCAAUCUCACCGGGGCCUGGACUUUCACUGACCAUAAAUUAUGCGUCCUUACAUUAAGGAUGUAAAAACCAGUGGUAAAAGCUCCUGCCAGCCUCUGGAAGACAAAAGGUGGCCUCCUAAUAGCCUGGAUUAACUCAAAGCAGAUCUCCGCCCACUUCAUUUGUCACCUUCCAAGUCAUCCUUCCACCUUCAUUUGCCACAUAAUCCAAUCAGGCCCUUUCAGAUGCCUGGGAGCUAUUGUCCACACCAAGCUGGGCUUCUGCAAGGCGGCCUGAGUUGUUUUUGUCUUGUCCGGACAAAACUGGUUGGCUUAAAAGGGGACGAAAGAAAGUGCUGGUCAAAUGAGGACCCCAAUUAGCUUCCAAGAGACUGUUUUCAUCAUCUUUGUAUCACAUCCCAGGCCUGGUGUGCUGGGCAUAUUGUCAGGGUUCCAGAAAAUGUUUGUUGAAUUAAUUCCGUUUUUAUUUCUUCUGGAAUUUACUUAUGGAGUGCAAACACACACAGCACCUACUGGGUGCUGGCUGUUACUACUGCGGGAGAAGAGGGCUGGGCAUGUGAAGGACGGAGGACAGCCUCCGGGGGAUAAGUAUCUCGCAAUUUCCACAGCAAUUUACAAAGCACUUUCAUAGCAGUUACAUCAUUUGGUCUUCAAAAGCGCCCUGUGGGGUAGAUAAACGCGGAGGUUUUUUUUUUUUUUUUUUUUUAAUCCCCAUUUAGACCAUGAAAGGAACUGAGACUCGGAGAAGUUAAGCGACUUGUUUAAGGUCACACUGUUACUGGGAGGUGGAGCCAGCACAGGGUACCAGCUCUGGGGCCACCCAGACCCCAAGACCACCCUGGGCAGCUGGGAUUUCAAAGAGACUGUCCCUUUGUCAAAUGUCUGACUGGACGUCAAAGGGCUUUUAAUAUAACUCUGGGCUAGGGGGUACAGGGCGGCUACAAUGGCACCCAGGAUCCAACUAUGACCUCUUCUCUUGCCAGCAGUGUGACAAAAUACUUACAUCCCUCCAGCCUCGGCGUCCAUCCUCACUGCCAACGUGGGUGACCCCUAUCCCGUGGGAGGGGCACUCAGCUUUCAUGAGUCCUCUUCCCCACCCACCUUUUGAAAAUUACUCAAAUCAAUGACAAAUUCAUUCUCAUCUGUAAAUGAGGCCGCCUCAUACACAUACUCCUAUGACAUAGAAAGAACAUUCAUCUACAUAGAAAGUGCUCUGGAAAUGACCGCAUGCAUAAUUCGUAUUCCUUCAGGUCAGCCCAGGACCCUCUGGUGGAGCCCCUACCUGAUGCAAGGAGAGCCUGGGGGACAGGGGCUGUCCGGAGUGCUGUGGGAGAACAAGUACGACAAGUGAGAGAGGUAGGAAUGGAUUGACCUGCCAAAUUUUUUCAACAAACAUUUGCUGACCGCAUCCUCUAUGCCCAGCCCUGCCCAAGGCUGCCUUCUCUCAUUUAAUACUCACAACAACCCUAGGAGGUUGCACUUCUCAUCCCCAUUGCCCAGAAAGGACGGGGGAUCUCGAAAGAGGGGAGCAUGCCUUUGGCAGUUCAGUAGCAUGACAUGAGGGCUCAUGCUCAUUCCACAAGCCCACCCUGGGCCUUGGAAUCGCCAGUGAGAUGCUAGAGGAGCCUCUGGCCUAGGUCCCCCUCCUGAGGAGUUCCCAAAGGGAUCUUUCCGUUCAGGACAUCAUAAGGGCAACAGCAGGGUCAGUGGAGAAAGACUGACGCCACCCUGAGGGAAGCGCUCCAGGUCGCCGGCACAUUAACACAGCAGAGACUUAUGGGAAAGUAUUCACAGAGACCAAGCACAAGCGUAGCAAAGAUCAGGGGUUAGCAGCCAGUGCCCCCUCACUAGGGCACUGGUUCAAGCCUUUAGCCAAGAGGGACAGCUGGCUUGUCAGUCCUGGUCCUCUUCAUCCCUCGUCGUCCUGGUCCUGGGGGUCUCUGCCAGCGGCUGCUUUGUAUGCUGGGGGGAUCCAGGAAUCGGUGCUCCUAGUGUCCUCUGCAAUUGAUCAAAGGUUAGAGGAGCCACUUAAAAGCCCAAGUCUACAUAUUAAUUAAAAUUUAAAUGAAUUAAUCACAACUAAAACUAAUUAGUUAAAAUUUAACAUUGUCUUUUAAUUGCUAAUGGGUCUGGGGGCGGUGCAAGGAGGGUGGCAGGGAUGGGGAAUUGUGCCCACCAUGUUGGGUAUAAACAGCCACAGGAGGGGUUAGGUACCAUGAGGUGGAGACGAGCCGCAAGCAGCUUGGCAACAGCUUGGCAUGGAGAGGUGGUCCUUGAAGACAAGGCGAACGGAUGAUGUCAUCCCUGAAGAGAGGCCCUAUGGCACCGGAGGGGGCCAGAUUAGAAACCAUCUUAAUGACCUCUAACGGCCAGCACAGGAACAGCAGAGAGAGGGAGGGGACAGUCAGAGGGAGAGGGAGGGGGGAGUAGGAGAGAGGAGGGAGGUGGGAGGGGUUGAGAGGGAAGAGGGAAGGGUAUGGAGAGAGGAGGCAGGAGGGAGGAGGGGGAGGGAACGGGAGAGAGGAAGGGGAGGGGAAAGUAGGAAUGAGGAAAACGGGAGGGGAGGGGGAAGAGGAGAAACGGGAGGGGGAGGAGGGAGAGAAGCGGAAGGGGGAGGAGGGAGAGAAGUGGGAGGGGGUAAGGAAGACUUGACUGACAGGGCACAAGUGUUAGCUGUGUGCGCAUGCGCAACCUGAAGGCCCGUUUAGCGGGCCGAGAGCCAUUUGCAGGCACAGACCGCUAGGGGGCGUCCGGCCAGCAUCCAGAGCCCAAGAGCACAGCCACCUGCGGCGCGCGCCUCGCCGGAGCCUCCCGCGCCCCCGCCCGCGCCUGGCCCGCAGCUGCCAGGGACACAGCUGGCGUAGGAUGGGCGGGGGGCUGCCCAACAGGUCUCUGGCCGGGAGGGGGGGGCACAGCCCACCCCAGCCCAUCACGCAGGGCCACCAUGUCCCCUAAACGCCACGCCCGCCAUCACUAGCCAGAAUCCACCUGUGGACUUCGGGCAGCACUACCUCACAAGCCCAGGGGGCCUUCUGCGCCCCCCUAACUGUGGGGGGGGGGGGUCAACCUACACCAGAGAGACACUCGCCAGAAGGAUCUUUCCAGAACACGAUUCCACUUUUAAUAAGCAAAAACAGAGAGAUCUUGGUCCCGACCUUCGGUAAAUCCAAUUAAAGAUAAAUUAAUUAAAAUUAUAAAGGGCCAGUUCUCAAUACACCGUUUUCACUCACUUUUGUGGUCUCAGGACACAUGAUACAAAAUAUGACAACCUUAGAAAAUAUAAAGACGGCCAAAAUCGUCUAAUAUCAUCCAGACAACCAACGACCCCCCCCCAAAUCUCGCCUCCAUUCUUCGCCAAGACCCCUCACGAUAGCGCCUAAUUAACCAUUUUACCAGCCCUCUUCAGCCUACUCAAAUGAGCCACGUCUUCCUAAGACCCCCUAAACCAUCAUCCAUUGAAAUAAACUGAUCUGCGUCCACGCUCUUCCACGACACCCUAAGUCGCGCAACCAACGCGGAUCACGGCAUCUCUGCUCAGCGCGAAUCCUGCAGCCUCUCUUCCCCGUGAACCCUGGCAUCUUAAAACAUUUCCCCCUUAGGUAAAUGAAUCCAGAAUUCUCCAGUAAAUCCCGCGCACGACCCCCUCCAGCAGGAGAACAAAGGCCACCUCCCCUCCCC
rnacentral:lncRNA from 1 species